GGGCUCGGACGGCAUUAUGCCGCGAACCUGGUCAGGUCCGGGAGGAAGCAGCCAUAAGUGGCCGCUGAUGAGCGUCCGGGUCUGCU
rnacentral:SRP_RNA from 1 species